GACGAACGCUGGCGGCGUGCUUAACACAUGCAAGUCGAACGGAAAGGCCCUGCUUUUGUGGGGUGCUCGAGUGGCGAACGGGUGAGUAACACGUGAGUAACCUGCCCUUGACUUUGGGAUAACUUCAGGAAACUGGGGCUAAUACCGGAUAGGAGCUCCUGCUGCAUGGUGGGGGUUGGAAAGUUUCGGCGGUUGGGGAUGGACUCGCGGCUUAUCAGCUUGUUGGUGGGGUAGUGGCUUACCAAGGCUUUGACGGGUAGCCGGCCUGAGAGGGUGACCGGCCACAUUGGGACUGAGAUACGGCACAGACUCCUACGGGAGGCAGCAGUGGGGAAUAUUGCACAAUGGGCGGAAGCCUGAUGCAGCAACGCCGCGUGCGGGAUGACGGCCUUCGGAUUGUAAACCGCGUUCGCCUGUGACGAAGCGUGAGUGACGGUAAUGGGUAAAGAAGAACCGGCUAACUACGUG
rnacentral:rRNA from 1 species